AGAGAGUCCCUUUGAUAUUGGCCUGGUUCACU
rnacentral:sRNA from 1 species